rnacentral:rRNA from 1 species
CAGCCGCCGCGGUAAUACAGAGGGUGCAAGCGUUAAUCGGAAUUACUGGGCGUAAAGCGCGCGUAGGUGGUUUGUUAAGUUGGAUGUGAGAUCCCCGGGCUCAACCUGGGAACUGCAUUCGAAACUGACUGACUAGAGUAUGGUAGAGGGUGGUGGAAUUUCCUGUGUAGCGGGGAAAUGCGUAGAUAUAGGAAGGAACACCAGUGGCGAAGGCGACCACCUGGACUAAUACUGACACUGAGGUGCGAAAGCGUGGGGAGCAAACAGGAUUAGAGACCCGCGUAGUCCCUGUCUCUUAUAA